rnacentral:rRNA from 1 species
GAUGAACGCUGGCGGCGUGCCUAAUACAUGCAAGUCGAGCGAACGGACGAGAAGCUUGCUUCUCUGAUGUUAGCGGCGGACGGGUGAGUAACACGUGGAUAACCUACCUAUAAGACUGGGAUAACUUCGGGAAACCGGAGCUAAUACCGGAUAAUAUUUUGAACCGCAUGGUUCAAAAGUGAAAGACGGUCUUGCUGUCACUUAUAGAUGGAUCCGCGCUGCAUUAGCUAGUUGGUAAGGUAACGGCUUACCAAGGCAACGAUGCAUAGCCGACCUGAGAGGGUGAUAGGCCACACUAGAACUGAGACACGGUCCAGACUCCUACGGGAGGCAGCAGUAGGGAAUCUUCCGCAGCGGGCGAAAACCUGACGGAGCAACGCCGCGUGAGUGAUGAAGGUCUUCGGAUCGUAAAACUCUGUUAUUAGGGAAGAACAUAUGUGUAAGUAACUGUGCACAUCUUGACGGUACCUAAUCAGAAAGCCACGGCUAACUACGUG